UAUCUAAUCUGUUAAUGGUUAAUGUAAUUUGGGCAAUGGGUGACAGUGAGAAACUAAAUAGUGUAUUGCAUUUUUCAUUAUCAAUGCUAAAAAAAAGUGAAUUACUAAUAGUAAUUAUUUCCAUAGGAAAACAAACAAAAGAAGGAUAGCGGGCACCUUUGACAGGAGUCAUUAGUAACAGAAAAUAAUAAUGGGGAAAGCAGCUGAAGUUAAUAGUGUGGGGUAGAGAUUAAUUUAUUGCUUUGAAUCAUCGAAUGGAAUCAAUCACAAUUAUUAAAGUAGUUUUCAGGAAGUAUUUUUUCAAAUCUCUGCCAUUUAAACUAUGACAUGCCUAAGAUUUCUUAGCCAG